GGACGCCUAGCUCAGUUGGUUAGAGCAUCUCGUUUACACCGAGGAGGUCGCGGGUUCGAAUCCCUCGGCGUCUACCA
rnacentral:tRNA from 1 species